rnacentral:rRNA from 1 species
CUGGGGAAUAUCGGUAUCGGAUUCUGGGCGUAAGCGCACGCAGGCGGUCUGUCAAGUCGGAUGUGAAAUCCCCGGGCUCAACCUGGGAACUGCAUUCGAAACUGGCAGGCUAGAGUCUUGUAGAGGGGGGUAGAAUUCCAGGUGUAGCGGUGAAAUGCGUAGAGAUCUGGAGGAAUACCGGUGGCGAAGGCGGCCCCCUGGACAAAGACUGACGCUCAGGUGCGAAAGCGUGGGGAGCAAACAGGAUUAGAUACCCUGGUAGUCCACGCCGUAAACGAUGUCGAUUUGGAGGUUGUGCCCUUGAGGCGUGGCUUCCGGAGCUAACGCGUUAAAUCGACCGCCUGGGGAGUACGGCCGCAAGGUUAAAACUCAAAUGAAUUGACGGGGGCCCGCACAAGCGGUGGAGCAUGUGGUUUAAUUCGAUGCAACGCGAAGAACCUUACCUGGUCUUGACAUCCACAGAACUUUCCAGAGAUGGAUUGGUGCCUUCGGGAACUGUGAGACAGGUGCUGCAUGGCUGUCGUCAGCUCGUGUUGUGAAAUGUUGGGUUAAGUCCCGCAACGAGCGCAACCCUUAUCCUUUGUUGCCAGCGGUUCGGCCGGGAACUCAAAGGAGACUGCCUGUGAUCAACUGGAGGAAUGUGGGGAUGACGUCAAGUCUUCAUUGCCCUUUACGACUAGGGCUACCACGUGCUACAAUGGCAUGUACAAAGAGCAAGCCACCUCCCGAGAGCAGCGUACCUCACAAAGUUGUCGUAGUCUCAAUGGAAUCUGCUACUCGACUGAUGAGCCUGAAUCGUUGUAAUCUGAUCAGAAUGUACGGUCAUACGUUCCCGGCCUGUCACACCUUCCGUCCACCAUGGGACAGGGUGCAAAAGUAGUAGUCUAGCUUUCGGAGGCGCUACAGUUGUGAUCAUGAUGGGGUGA